ACUCAAAGGAAUUGACGGGGGCCCGCACAAGCGGUGGAGCAUGUGGUUCAAUUCGACGCAACGCGAAGAACCUUACCUGGGCUCGAACGGCUGGUCAACGGGAGUGGAAACACUUUUACCCCGCAAGGGGGUCCAGUCGAGGUGCUGCAUGGCUGUCGUCAGCUCGUGUCGUGAGAUGUUGGGUUAAGUCCCGCAACGAGCGCAACCCUUGUCCUGUGUUGCCCAUCCGCAAGGAGGAACUCGCAGGAGACCGCCAGCGAUAAGUUGGAGGAAGGUGGGGAUGACGUCAAGUCCUCAUGGCCUUUAUGUCCAGGGCUACACACGUGCUACAAUGGCCGGUACAAAGCGCAGCAAACCUGCGAAGGGGAGCCAAUCGCAAAAAACCGGUCUCAGUUCGGAUUGCAGGCUGCAACUCGCCUGCAUGAAGCUGGAAUCGCUAGUAAUGGCAGAUCAGCACGCUGCCGUGAAUACGUUCCCGGGCCUUGUACACACCGCCCGU
rnacentral:rRNA from 1 species